rnacentral:lncRNA from 10 species
UCUGUAUCAAAACUACCUGGAAGGCUGAGGGCACUCAGGCCAGGAGCACACCCACCUGCCAUAUGCCCCACCUGGGCCUGUACCUUGACCACCAGGCCCAAGAAAGAUAGACCCCUUCAACCCUCUCCACCACCUGUUUGGAGUGCUCACUGACAACUGACAUUCCUAACCCACUCCUAGUGCCAGAUCCAGUCCUGGAAAUCUGACAGUUUGAGCUUCAUCACCCUAAGGUCCUUCAGCUGUCCUCCAGCUGCCCCCUCUAUUUCCCCACCUCUCUAGGAACUGAUUUCCCAAUAGGCACGUGCUCUCAGAUGGCUGUUGGCUCAGGUGUUAGCUAAUAAGCAAGGUGUUUGCUGACAAGGGCUUAACGCCUCCCAGAGGCAUUUGCAUUUUAAUAGGGAUUGUUACAAGAAUUCAACCCCCAAAGGAAUGAAGUUAUGAUGGUAAAAUGCCAGGAACCCAUGUGGAUAUUUCAGAGCAGGGAGCCCUCUCCUUGGAUCCUAACACCUGGUUAGCUAGCCCUGUCUAUAGCUCUCUGGAGUGGAACAUGAGAUCAUUUCUCUUCACCCUGCGGGGGCUGGCAAUCAGCUCACAAAGUGAGGUAGCCAUCUUUAAACAGCAGGAUCCAGAGUCCCAGAAAUCUUGACUCAGCCAGAUGGGAUGUCAGAGGAAGCUUCUGAAGAACUGGAGACCAGUUACAGCAAGCCGCUAUGGAACAUCUCUAGGCCAGAUUCGGUGUUAUCUUAAAGGACUGCGUGCAAUUCUACUUGGAGAUCUUCAUAACACCUUAAGGGAAAAAUCCUUUUUGAAAGAAAAACAAGUCUGGGUGGUGCUUGAAAAUUCAGAAGGCAGCUAGAAACUCUGCCAAUUACAACGAGUCAAAAAGUCCCCACAGAGAAGACCCACUUGCUAAUCCUGAGCAGACCAUGCAAUGGAAGCAUCUUGAGGCAGAGUGGUGAAGCUGAAAGCCCUGGACUAGGAACUGGAGCUGUAGAGUCCUGCUGUGGUUCUGCUGUUGACUUACUUGUUUAAAUCAGAGAUGAAAUAACAACCUCUCUGGGCCUCUUAUCUGUGAAAUGAGAGGUUUGGCUAAUGUGGUUUCCCAGGAAUUUUCUGGCUCUAAGUUACAUUCAAUUUCAGCAGAAUAUUUGUUUCUAACCUUUCCCAUGCUGCUGCUGAGUUGGCCUAAUUGCUAGCCCUCCACUGAUUUCAUUCUGCCCCACCCCACCCUCAGAUGACUCCUUCUUUCCACUUAGAGAUAACAGCACCAAUUAACUCAGGAUAAUUUCCCUCACUGCCAAAACUAUUUCCAAAAUGCAAACUUGUGGCUGCUGAUUCAUGCUGCUAGAGAAGCACUGUUUCUUUCUGACUGGCUUCACGUGUGUUGCCACUACAGGAAGAGACCAAGUCACUGGUAAAAAGCUAGGGUAACCAGGAGAAAUGGCCCCUUCAGAUGACACUGUGAGAGUCAACAAGGUAAGAAAGAGGAAGCUUUAAAAUCACCACCAUCAUCAUUUUUGAAAUGUGGAAAGUUAGUUAUGCAUGGUGCUUGCCCUUGGGUACCUUAAAAUUGAAAACAUAUAAGCAAAACACCAUAUAUGGCCUGGCACAGUGACUCAUGCCUAUAAAUCCCAGCACUUUGGAAGGUGGAGGUGGGUGGAUGGCUUGAGCCCAGGAGUUUCAGAUCAGCUUGUGCAAUAUGGUGAAAGCCUGUAUCUGCCAAAAAAAAAAAAAAAAAAGAAAAGAAAUACACAAAAAUUAGCUGGGUGCAGUAGUGCAUACCUGUAGUCCCAGCUACUCAGAAGGCUGAGGCAAGAAGAACGCUUGAGCCCAGGAGUUUGAGGAUGCAGUGAGCCAUGAUUGCACCACUGCACUCCAGCCUAGGUGGCAGAUCAAGACCCUGUCUCAAAAGAAAAAAAAAAUAUCAAAAACCAACAAAAACCAAAAACCAUAUAAACAUCAUCUUGUAAAGUAAAUAAAUAUAUAAGUGAUUUAGGAGUCAACACAUAUUACUCAAGAGCACCCUAUUGAGGCCCCAAGUCUCAUUGACAAGAUCUAAUUGGAGUUUAUAUCUGUAAGGCCAACACUAUGAGAAUGAAUGGGGUGAUGAGCAGAAAAAUAGUAGGGCUGGGGAGGGGACACAAAGAGAGACAUUCUCAGCACAAUGCCCAAAGGAGCUCCUUCUUUUACAUGGCUAGAUGACAAGAGGAAGUGAUGAAGUCAUAAAAGGAGUCAAUGAGAGAGAAAGAAAUGGGUGAGCGAAGUUCCUCAGUAUCAAAUAAAAUGUAGUUCAAAGGAGGAGAGGCUGGUGUGAAGAGGAAAAUGACAAAGGUGAGUCAAAAAAGCUAGGCCUGGAAUAGGUUUUUGGAAUUAUCCAUUAUGAGGUCAUUGACAACUUUGUCAUAGGAGUUUCUGUGGAAUUACAGGGCAGGAUCCAGACAACAUUAAUUUACAUAGCAAAUGUUUGGAAUGAAAGUGAUGUUUCUAAGUCGAGACUAUUCUUUCAGAAAAAUUAACAGCAAAGUUUGGUACUCAAGGGGAUAAUAAAAACAAGGGAAAAAUUUUGAGGAGGAAUAAACCUUGGCCUGAGGUUAAAACAAAAAGGAAGAAUUGAUUGGAAGCAGGGCAUUAACAACACAUAGAAGAAGAAUGGCACAAUGGAUGAAGCAGAAACCAGAGAAAGGAGACGAGCUCACAAUCCUGGGUGAAGGAAUGAGGGGAAAGGAGGGUAAAGAGAUUCUGAGUUUUCAAAAAUAAAGGAUAUCAGCAGAGAGGCAGAUAUAAAGCUGGCCAGUAACUUUUAUGUGGAGAGUUUCUUGAAGAUUUCAAGCAUAGGAAGAGGGGAGAAGAGCAGAGUGCUAUGAUCCAAGAUCUAGGCUUAGAAAGUUCCAGAAAAAGAAGAAUUAGAACAAGUAAUUGGCUUAUCUCCAAAUAUGCCCAAAGAUGGGACCGAAGACAUUGCCUCACCUGCAUAACAGGGAACAAUUUACUAUAAAACUAGAAAUGAUUGGAGCAAAGGUUGAUUCUCUCACCUCUUAUUACUGUUGUCUCCAUUUCUAUUACUAACAUGGAGGGGCAGGAAAAAAAAAAACAAAGAAAAAUCAUUGCUGAUCCUAGUAAGGACUUCUGCACAUAUGUGACCAACUGCUCUGUAGAGUGUAUAUUUGACAACCCAGAGUUCUGCUGGUGUGGCAUACAACCAUUAAAUUACCUAAAACUUCUUGUUAGCUAAAAAAUAGUUUCUACUUAUAUCAUUUGUAAGUAUCCUCAGUAUACUCUAAUUUUUUGCUGACUGGAGACCUAUUUUGGGAAAUAUAUACAGGUCCACAGCUCCUUAUCAAAACAGCACCUAAGUAAGGCUCAGCCUCUUCUACUGAGUUUCACACACUAUAGUAGUGGUCAAUAAGCUUUAUUCUCAGAUAUACAUUCAAAGGUUUUAAAGAAAAAAUACAUACUUUUUCAUAAAUUUUUAAGUUAACAUCUAAAAUUUUUCAUUAACACUAUAAAUGAUUACAAAGGAUAUCAUUUUCCUGUGUGUUAUAAAUGAAUGACAUUGAAAAAUAGAACCAUUACUUCAUUUUUUGAAAAGUACUAAUGACAUCAAAAUACCAUAGUGAUCAUUUAAAAACAAAUUUUUGAUUGACAUAUAACAUUUAAAAAUGUACCAAAUUAUGAGUGUACAUCCCACUGGUUCCACAGAGUUAAGACACUCAUGUAACCAGCAAACAGACAAACAGUUUAAGAAGUUCUUCUUCGCUCCUUCUAAGACAGUCCUUUGCCACAAAGGUAACCAUUAUUGGGACUUUAGUAUCACAGAUUAGUUUCCUGUUUUUAAACUCUAUGUAAAUGGGAUUAUAUAGUAGUUAUGCUUUUGAAUAUGGCUUCUUUUGCUCAGUAUUAAGUUUAUGGAAUUUAUUGUUGGGAGUAGAAAUACGUCAUUCUCCUUGCUGUGUUGUAGUCCUUAGUAGGAAUAUACUGCAAUUUAUUUAUUACAUUUUUAGUGUACAUUUGAAUUAUUUUCAAUUUGAGGCUAUUAUGGGCAGUGCUGCUGUACAUAUUUUUAUUCAUGCUUUUUUGUGAUGUAUGUAAACAUUUAUGUUAGUUGUAUGUCUAACAGUGAAACUGUUGGAAGAUUGGGUCAUGCAUAUAUUCAGCUUUUUUUAUAUAUUGUCAUAUAUUCAGACAUUUUUCAGGGUAUUUGUACCAAAUUAUCUUUUUAUUAGAAGUAUGUGAGAGUUUUAGCUGCUCUGCAUCAUUUGAUAGUCUCUGUUUAUUUUUCCUUUUACCUAUUCUAGUGAGUAUAAAAUUUGAGCAC